GAAUUCCGAAAAUUGAUCCGAAUCGCAGCCCAUGAGUCAUCGAGUCUUUGAACGCACAUUGCCACCUUUUCCUUGCAAAAGGUAUGCCCUGUUUUGAGCUUCAGUUU
rnacentral:rRNA from 1 species